GAUAACAGACUCCUCUUUAUCAACUUAUUCCACAUGCAUUGCCCAUGUCGAGAUCUAGUCAGGUGCAAGGAAUUAAGCUGAAGUUAUCUACAGAAUCAAGACAUGAAAGUCGAAUUUUUCAACUAUAUAAGGAUUUACUCAACUUUCUAUAUAAGCUUACAACUGGAGCUAAACAAGCAUACUCACUGUCACGGCGAUUUAUUGUUGGACAGACAAUUCCACAAAACACAGACACAAACCUUGCAACUUGUCCUAGAAUCUGAUCUAGUACGCCAGCUUCUCGCCCUCUUCAUCAUCCACCACAGACCACAAGAACUUGGUAUCUGGGUUGCGAGCCGAGCAGUUGGCUCUGAUCUCCCCCUGGUCACCGGUCAGCACGCUCAGCUGG
rnacentral:lncRNA from 1 species